UUUCCCCUCACUCCCUGCUUUUCCCUUUCUCCUUUGUCUUUGAAUGUUUUACUUACAGUUUGCUAUUUCCGAUUCCCCUACUUUCUUCUGGCUUCGGUCAGGGUCACCACUAAGGAAGCUUCAACAAUUUCUUGACCAGAAAAACAGGAAGCUUCAUCCACUCUAAGCUUUCCACUUGCUGAACAGUUCUCAGUUUUUUCGCGGGCAAGAGUGUCAGAAACAGCAAAACUGCAAGUGCAGAGUUGUCUUCGGGAAAAGAUAAGUUGCAUGAGAUGAGACAAGUUCAGGAGAUGGCUGUAGAGUUCGUCAAUGCCCUUAAUGCCGCCGCCGCCGCCGAGAGUGAAUGUGCUAAAUUGAGGAGGCUGCUGGAAGAAGAGAGAAAGCUUGUGCAAAGGCUUAAACAAGAAAAAGAAGAUGAAGCACAAAUGGCCAAGAGAAAAUUUGAAAGGAUGAGUCAACGAUUAGCAGAGGCUCAAAAAGAUGUUGAGUACGCUGCAACCAGAGCUGAUGUUGCUGAGAAUGAAUGGGUUAAGUUAAAGAGAGAAUUACGAGAAGCUCAAGAGCUUGUGCGGUUGCCAAGGCCAGAAAGUGAGGAGACAAGGCAAAUCGUCCUGAGACAGGUUGACAAAAAGAGCAAGAGCUAGCCAAUGCCCUUAAUGCUGCUUCAGUUGCUGAGAGUGAAUGUGAGAAAUUGAGGAUAACGCUGGAAGAAGAGCAAAAACUUGUCCAAAGGCUUAAACUUGAGAAACAUGAUGAGGCACAACUAGCUAAGAGACAAAUUGAAGGGAUAGGUCAAGAAUUAGCUGAUAUGCGAAAAAAUGCUGAGUAUGCUACUACUAGAGCUGAUGUUGCUGAGGUUGAGGUUUGAGUUGCGCGGUGUUAUGGAAGUCACUCUUAAGGAGGGAUAUGGAUAUUCUUGUUUUAAUUGGGUGAAAAAGCCAGUGGAGUUCCUUCCGGAUUCAGAGGAAGAAUAUGAUUCUCUUUGCAUUUUAUCAGUGCCUCUUUGAUAGGUUAGAUCCUUACAAUUUCUGCUUUCAUCAAUUGUCUGGACAAAAUUGACGAAGAUUUGGGAUCCAUCAAUAGUGAGAUCAUUCAAAUGAGGAUUAUUAUGAAUCAGGCUGGUCAAAGAUGUAGAGCAUUGAGGCAAUGUUACUACAAUUAUGAUUAUUCUGCUGCAAGGUGUCUCCAUUGCCAGUUUUCAUGAGUCAAAUUUGGUGAGGCCAUUUAUUUUUACUUUUGACCAUGGAUGAAUUGACUGCUCUGAUAAUGAGGUGUUCGCUUCUCCAAUGGUGCACCAUUUUGUUUUUGCUUUGUUUUGUUUUUGUUUUUGUUUUUGCAAGACAUCCAAAGUUUACCUUGAAAUCCAAGAUCUAACGGAAGAAAUUACAGAGCUAAAGAGGGGGAUAAAAAGGCAAAUGACAGGUGAGAAGAGACAUGGGCAUGAGAGAAUAGACUGAUAGAGAGAGGAGCUGAUAUAGAGAGCAGAGAGAGAUGACAGAGAAGAGAUUAGAGGGAGGAAAAUAUAGAGGGAGACACAGAAUCUUCUUCUUAAUAUUGUGGCAGAAGAAAAGAGAGAAGAAACCAAAUAUAAGGCAGAAAGGGUACUGAACAGAAAAACAAGAAUGAAUGGAUUAAGGCAAAGAAAGAGUUGCAAGAGCAGAGACAGCUUUUGCAAUUGCUAAAGCCAGAAUGUGAUGAGACAAGAAAAAGCGCCAUGAGACAAGUUGAAGAGAAGGAACAAGAGUUAGCCAAUGCCCUACUUGCUUCUGAAAUUGCUGAGCGUGAAUGUGCUAAACUAAAGAGAAUGCUGGAAGAAGAGCAAAAACUUGUACAAAGGCUUAGACAUGAGAAAGAUGAUGAGGUGCAGCUAGCAAGAGGCAAAUUGAAGAGAUUAAUCAAGAAUUAGCCCAUGCUCAAAAGAUGCCAAGUUAGCUCGAGAAGAUGCUGAUGCCGCUGAAAGUAAAUGGACUAAGGUCAAGGGAGAUGUGAAGAAUAUGGAAGAGCGUGUCAAAUUGCUGGAAUUUCAAUGCCAAGAGAUGAGAGAGAGUGUAAGUAGCCAAGAUGAAGAGAAGGCACUGAAGUUGGCCAAUGCUCUUAAUCCUUCUGCGAUUGCUGAGCAACCACAUAGCACACACAUACUGACAGCACAAAGGAAAAAGAUGAAGAAAUCAAACUCACUUAAUCAGCAACACUUGAAACAGAGGAAGGAAGAAGAUGAAGUCGGCCAUGUGCGCAGGGGAGUGAAGGAAUUCAAAUUCAGACGUCCGGUAACAGUAUCCCGGUUACUCGACGUCCACGCACGGAAAGAAACAAGGAGGAAGAAGUCUCGAGUUCUCUCGGAACCCACUAGCGAUCGACGACCCACCUGCACCCUCACUGGCGAACGAAAGAAAAAAACGAAAGGAAAGAACAGAGGCGGAGGAGGAUUUGGCGAGAAUAAGCUAUAGAGAAGGAACAAAGAAAAUGAAGAAGUAAAGGGGAAGAGAAGAAAUAUCUGAUGAUAUUAUCUGUGUUUUUUGUUUUUUUAAGGGCAUUAAAGUAAAUAUACAUAGUAAAAGAAAAUGGGACUCUAAUAUAUAUACUGAGAUAUUACAUAUGUUUUCCCAAAUUGUUUGAUAAGUAUUUACGAAAUUGAAUCAUAAAGAAGUAGCUAGUGUUUGAUUGAU